rnacentral:misc_RNA from 1 species
GAUGAAGAACGUAGCGAAAUGCGUUAAGUAAUGUGAAUUGCAGAAUUCAGUGAAUCAUCGAAUCUUUGAACGCACAUUGCGCCCGCCAGUAUUCUGGCGGGCAUGCCUGUUCGAGCGUCAUUUCAACCAUCAAGCCCCCGGCUUGUGUUGGGGACCUGCGGCUGCCGCAGGCCCUGAAAACCAGUGGCGGGCUCGCUAGUCACUCCGAGCGUAGUAAUACAUCUCGCUCAGGGCGUGCUGCGGGUUCCGGCCGUUAAAAAGCCUUAUUUACCCAAGGUUGACCUCGGAUCAGGUAGGAAGACCCGCUGAACUUAAGCAUAUCAAUAAGCGGAGGA